GGUUGCGAUCAUACCAGCACUAAUGCACCGGAUCCCAUCAGAACUCCGCAGUUAAGCGUGCUUGGGCGAGAGUAGUACUAGGAUGGGUGACCUUCUUGGAAGUCCUCGUGUUGCACCCC
rnacentral:rRNA from 1 species